rnacentral:rRNA from 1 species
GAAUGCUGACAUAAGUAACGAUAAAGCGGGUGAAAAGCCCGCUCGCCGGAAGACCAAGGGUUCCUGUCCAACGUUAAUCGGGGCAGGGUGAGUCGACCCCUAAGGCGAGGCCGAAAGGCGUAGUCGAUGGGAAACAGGUUAAUAUUCCUGUACUUGGUGUUACUGCGAAGGGGGGACGGAGAAGGCUAUGUUGGCCGGGCGACGGUUGUCCCGGUUUAAGCGUGUAGGCUGGUUUUCCAGGCAAAUCCGGAAAACCAAGGCUGAGGCGUGAUGACGAGGCACUACGGUGCUGAAGCGACAAAUGCCCUGCUUCCAGGAAAAGCCUCUAAGCAUCAGGUAACAUCAAAUCGUACCCCAAACCGACACAGGUGGUCAGGUAGAGAAUACCAAGGCGCUUGAGAGAACUCGGGUGAAGGAACUAGGCAAAAUGGUGCCGUAACUUCGGGAGAAGGCACGCUGAUAUGUAGGUGAAGCGACUUGCUC